rnacentral:tRNA from 1 species
GGGGGAUUAGCUCAGUGGUAGAGCAUCAGGUUGUUGUCCCGAAGGUCAAGGUAUCGAUCCCCGA